rnacentral:rRNA from 1 species
CCCGCCUGGGGAGUACGGCCGCAAGGCUAAAACUCAAAGGAAUUGACGGGGGCCCGCACCAGCGGCGGAGCAUGUUGCUUAAUUCGACGCAACGCGAAGAACCUUACCAAGGUUUGACAUCACCCGUGGACUCGCAGAGAUGUGAGGUCAUUUAGUUGGCGGGUGACAGGUGGUGCAUGGCAGUCGUCAGCUCGUGUCGUGAGAUGUUGGGUUAAGUCCCGCAACGAGCGCAACCCUUGUUCCAUGUUGCCAGCACGUAAUGGUGGGGACUCAUGGGAGACUGCCGGGGUCAACUCGGAGGAAGGUGGGGAUGACGUCAAGUCAUCAUGCCCCUUAUGUCUUGGGCUGCAAACAUGCUACAAUGGCCGGUACAAUGGGCGUGCGAUACCGUAAGGUGGAGCGAAUCCCUAAAAGCCGGUCUCAGUUCGGAUUGGGGUCUGCAACUCGACCCCAUGAAGGUGGAGUCGCUAGUAAUCGCGGAUCAGCAACGCCGCGGUGAAUACGUUCCCGGGCCUUGUACACACCGCCCGUCACGUCAUGAAAGUCGGCAACACCCGAAACCUGCGGCCUAACCCCUUGUGGG